rnacentral:ribozyme from 11 species
ACACAGAGACAAAAAGAAGGAAGGAGACAGGAAAGGAAGAAGGCAAAUGAAAAAAGCGGAAAGGAAGGGAAUCAUCGGUUCUUGCUGCUGCUUUGGAAAAUUCCCCGAGAGAGAUUGGAUUUUCUUCAUGCCUUUUCUUUCUUCUU